GACGGAGGAUGCAAGCGUUAUCCGGAAUGAUUGGGCGUAAAGCGUCCGCAGGUGGCAGUUCAAGUCUGCUGUCAAAGACCGGGGCUUAACUUCGGAAAGGCAGUGGAAACUGAACAGCUAGAGUAUGGUAGGGGCAGAGGGAAUUCCUGGUGUAGCGGUGAAAUGCGUAGAGAUCAGGAAGAACACCAGUGGCGAAGGCGCUCUGCUAGGCCGUAACUGACACUGAGGGACGAAAGCUAGGGGAGGCGAAUGGG
rnacentral:rRNA from 1 species